UUAAGCGACUAAGCGUACACGGUGGAUGCCCUGGCAGUCAGAGGCGAUGAAGGACGUGCUAAUCUGCGAUAAGCGUCGGUAAGGUGAUAUGAACCGUUAUAACCGGCGAUUUCCGAAUGGGGAAACCCAGUGUGUUUCGACACACUAUCAUUAACUGAAUCCAUAGGUUAAUGAGGCGAACCGGGGGAACUGAAACAUCUAAGUACCCCGAGGAAAAGAAAUCAACCGAGAUUCCCCCAGUAGCGGCGAGCGAACGGGGAGCAGCCCAGAGCCUGAAUCAGUGUGUGUGUUAGUGGAAGCGUCUGGAAAGGCGCGCGAUACAGGGUGACAGCCCCGUACACAAAAAUGCACAUACUGUGAGCUCGAUGAGUAGGGCGGGACACGUGGUAUCCUGUCUGAAUAUGGGGGGACCAUCCUCCAAGGCUAAAUACUCCUGACUGACCGAUAGUGAACCAGUACCGUGAGGGAAAGGCGAAAAGAACCCCGGCGAGGGGAGUGAAAAAGAACCUGAAACCGUGUACGUACAAGCAGUGGGAGCCUCUUAAUGGGGUGACUGCGUACCUUUUGUAUAAUGGGUCAGCGACUUAUAUUCUGUAGCAAGGUUAACCGAAUAGGGGAGCCGAAGGGAAACCGAGUCUUAACUGGGCGUUAAGUUGCAGGGUAUAGACCCGAAACCCGGUGAUCUAGCCAUGGGCAGGUUGAAGGUUGGGUAACACUAACUGGAGGACCGAACCGACUAAUGUUGAAAAAUUAGCGGAUGACUUGUGGCUGGGGGUGAAAGGCCAAUCAAACCGGGAGAUAGCUGGUUCUCCCCGAAAGCUAUUUAGGUAGCGCCUCGUGAAUUCAUCUCCGGGGGUAGAGCACUGUUUCGGCAAGGGGGUCAUCCCGACUUACCAACCCGAUGCAAACUGCGAAUACCGGAGAAUGUUAUCACGGGAGACACACGGCGGGUGCUAACGUCCGUCGUGAAGAGGGAAACAACCCAGACCGCCAGCUAAGGUCCCAAAGUCAUGGUUAAGUGGGAAACGAUGUGGGAAGGCCCAGACAGCCAGGAUGUUGGCUUAGAAGCAGCCAUCAUUUAAAGAAAGCGUAAUAGCUCACUGGUCGAGUCGGCCUGCGCGGAAGAUGUAACGGGGCUAAACCAUGCACCGAAGCUGCGGCAGCGACACUAUGUGUUGUUGGGUAGGGGAGCGUUCUGUAAGCCUGUGAAGGUGUACUGUGAGGUAUGCUGGAGGUAUCAGAAGUGCGAAUGCUGACAUAAGUAACGAUAAAGCGGGUGAAAAGCCCGCUCGCCGGAAGACCAAGGGUUCCUGUCCAACGUUAAUCGGGGCAGGGUGAGUCGACCCCUAAGGCGAGGCCGAAAGGCGUAGUCGAUGGGAAACAGGUUAAUAUUCCUGUACUUGGUGUUACUGCGAAGGGGGGACGGAGAAGGCUAUGUUGGCCGGGCGACGGUUGUCCCGGUUUAAGCGUGUAGGCUGGUUUUCCAGGCAAAUCCGGAAAAUCAAGGCUGAGGCGUGAUGACGAGGCACUACGGUGCUGAAGCAACAAAUGCCCUGCUUCCAGGAAAAGCCUCUAAGCAUCAGGUAACAUCAAAUCGUACCCCAAACCGACACAGGUGGUCAGGUAGAGAAUACCAAGGCGCUUGAGAGAACUCGGGUGAAGGAACUAGGCAAAAUGGUGCCGUAACUUCGGGAGAAGGCACGCUGAUAUGUAGGUGAAGUCCCUUGCGGAUGGAGCUGAAAUCAGUCGAAGAUACCAGCUGGCUGCAACUGUUUAUUAAAAACACAGCACUGUGCAAACACGAAAGUGGACGUAUACGGUGUGACGCCUGCCCGGUGCCGGAAGGUUAAUUGAUGGGGUUAGCGGUAACGCGAAGCUCUUGAUCGAAGCCCCGGUAAACGGCGGCCGUAACUAUAACGGUCCUAAGGUAGCGAAAUUCCUUGUCGGGUAAGUUCCGACCUGCACGAAUGGCGUAAUGAUGGCCAGGCUGUCUCCACCCGAGACUCAGUGAAAUUGAACUCGCUGUGAAGAUGCAGUGUACCCGCGGCAAGACGGAAAGACCCCGUGAACCUUUACUAUAGCUUGACACUGAACAUUGAGCCUUGAUGUGUAGGAUAGGUGGGAGGCUUUGAAGUGUGGACGCCAGUCUGCAUGGAGCCGGCCUUGAAAUACCACCCUUUAAUGUUUGAUGUUCUAACGUUGGCCCCUUACCGGGGUUGCGGACAGUGUCUGGUGGGUAGUUUGACUGGGGCGGUCUCCUCCUAAAGAGUAACGGAGGAGCACGAAGGUUGGCUAAUCCUGGUCGGACAUCAGGAGGUUAGUGCAAUGGCAUAAGCCAGCUUGACUGCGAGCGUGACGGCGCGAGCAGGUGCGAAAGCAGGUCAUAGUGAUCCGGUGGUUCUGAAUGGAAGGGCCAUCGCUCAACGGAUAAAAGGUACUCCGGGGAUAACAGGCUGAUACCGCCCAAGAGUUCAUAUCGACGGCGGUGUUUGGCACCUCGAUGUCGGCUCAUCACAUCCUGGGGCUGAAGUAGGUCCCAAGGGUAUGGCUGUUCGCCAUUUAAAGUGGUACGCGAGCUGGGUUUAGAACGUCGUGAGACAGUUCGGUCCCUAUCUGCCGUGGGCGCUGGAGAACUGAGGGGGGCUGCUCCUAGUACGAGAGGACCGGAGUGGACGCAUCACUGGUGUUCGGGUUGUCAUGCCAAUGGCACUGCCCGGUAGCUAAAUGCGGAAGAGAUAAGUGCUGAAAGCAUCUAAGCACGAAACUUGCCCCGAGAUGAGUUCUCCCUGACUCUUUAAGGGUCCUGAAGGAACGUUGAAGACGACGACGUUAAUAGGCCGGGUGUGUAAGCGCAGCGAUGCGUUGAGCUAACCGGUACUAAUGAACCGUGAGGCUUAACCU
rnacentral:rRNA from 1 species